GUGCUUAGGGACAAGCACAGGCCGCCAGGGAAGGGGGUCAGGAACAAUCAAGGGCAUGAUUUCAUCAGGACGAUGACUAGGAAAUGGACUAAAGAGGGCGGGGGUUAAACCCCGCCCCUUUUU
rnacentral:sRNA from 1 species